GGGGGGUGAGGGCUCCAGCUGGGGUGCGGGUUCUGGGGUGGGGCCAGGGAUGAGGGGUUUAGGGUGCGGAAGGGGGCUCAGGGCUGGGGUGGGGGCACAGGAGAGGGUGCAGGGAGAGGGCUCCAGGUGGCGCGUACCUCGGGGGGCUCCCCAGAAGCAGCAUGUCCCUUGGCUCCUAGAUGUAGGGGCAGCCGCAUGUGGUGCACGCUGCCUCUGCCCGCAGGCACCACCCCUGCAACUCCCAUUGCCUGCGGUUCCUGGCCAAUGGGAGCUGCAAAGCCAGCGCUCAGUGCGUGGGGAGUGCGCAGAGGCCCCCUGGCUGUCUCUCUGCCUAGGAACGGGGUGACAUGUUGCUGCUUCUGGGGAGCCGUGCGGAGUCAGGUAAGGAGCCUACAAGCCAUGCCAACCGGACUUUUAACAGCCCAGUCAGCAGUGCUGACCGGAGCCACCAGCGUUCCUUUUCAACCGGGUAUUCCGGUUGAAAACUGGACACCUGGCAACCCUUGAGUGGGGGUAAUAGGUGACUAUAUAAGACAAAGCCCCAAAUAUUGGGACUGUUCCUAUAAAAUUGGGACAUUUGGUCGCCUUAGUGUGGACGCAGCUCCACCCGCACCCAGGGGCUCCGGGCACAGAAGGGCGGGUCCCUGUUCACCCCCAACCACGUCCGUUACUCCCCUGCCCACUCCCCCACCAUAGGCGUGUGCACAGCCGCCUCCUGGACAUGGCUCCAGCCCCAUGCAGCACUGGGACUUGCGCCGCCCCACCCCCAGCUGCUGCAACUCGCACCCUGGCCUCAGGGCCACACUCAGCCUUGGUACUGUGGUAGCAGCAGCACGACCCCAGGGCAUGCGGCAGAACAGGGCUGCAGAGCAGGGAGCACAGAGACAGGCCAGCACUGAAAGAAAAACCUGUGGGCCCAGCAGCAGCACACACAGCUCAACCCGUCCCAGGGAAGGUAUCUCCACUAUCUAUGUGCGCCUGGUACUUGGCAUGGUGGUGAGGGUUCCAUACAUUAGCAUUAAUGAUCAAGGGAUACUUUCCUCUUCUAGCAGCUGUCAGGGGGCCAACAGCAUCCCAUCAGUAAUGCUGACCUACCAGCAGGAGCAAGUGCUGGGCUUGUCUACACUUACAGCGCUGCAGAUUUUCCAAUAUGACCCUGAGCAACAUAGUUCUAUGUUACAAACUUAUGUUGGUAUAUCAGGGCCAAGCCUCAAACUGUGACUCCAGAACACAGCUGAGGGCAGACCUACACUUAAAGCUGCAGCAAUGCAGCUGCGCAGCUUUAGCACAGAUGCUACUAUGCCCAUGAGAGAGUUUCUCCCCUCAGCGUAGUUAAUCCACCUCAAGGAGCAGCGGUAGCUAUGUUGGCAGGAGAAGCCCUCCCGUCAUCCUAGGGCUGUCUACAUCUGGGGUUAGAUCAGUAUAACUGCAUGGCCUAGGGGAGUGGAUUUUUCACAUCCCUGAGCUAUGUAGUUAUACUGAUGUAAGUUUGUAGACCUGGCCUGAUCGUGAUAUCUAUAUAUACUCAGCCCUGGUCUGCACUACAAACUUAUGUUGGUAUAAUUACGUCGCUCAGGGGUGUGGAAAAUCCACACCCUUGAGUGAUCCAGCCUAACUUCUGGUUUAGACAGCGCUAUGUUGACAGGAAGGCUUCGCCCGUUGACAUAGCUACAGCCUCCCGGGGAGGUGGAGUACCUACACCGACAGGAGAAGCUCUCCUGUCAACAUAGGUAGCAUCUUCGCAAAGCACUAGAGCAUGCAUCUGUAGCACUGUAAGCAUAGACAAGUCCUUAAGCAUGUUAAGUAAACAUAACAACAAGGGAAGCAAAUAAACAUUUGCAGUACAGGAGAAGGUGUGCUGGUCUGUUAGUUGACCUCCAAGAUUUCCCCCUCUCAGCUCAUGAUCCUGUUUUAAACUGUUAACUGCACAGAGUAAUGAAAUUUUAGAAUAAAACAAUAGGGCUGUUUAAAGUACUAGCUCAAACAGAAUGCUUAACAAUCAUUUCUAUUUCCAGAUGUAUGUUUCCAAUUAUCUCUGCUCCAAUGUUAUUUUUAAAAUAGGUUAGAAGAGAAUAGUUUAGCCAUUAUUAAAUAUGUAGGGCUUGACUCAGCAUUGUGUUACUCCAGGCUCACCCCAGUGGAAAUCCAUUGAUUUUCAUGGAGUUACACCAGCUGACAACUGGAGUAAUACAAUGCUGUUUUAGAUCUGUGGUAUCUAUACAAACACUAGAAAAGGUUUAGCUGUUUAAGAGCCUGAUCUUGCCUCAGUGAAGUGAGUGGAAAGUCAAUGGCCUUUGAGCUUAAGCCUCAUGUCUCACAAGGCACCUGAGGCAUGUCAGUAGUAAUAUCUAAGAGCUCACUGCUUAGAUGGUUUGUCAGUGGCAGACCCAAGUAGAGGAGUGACAUCAAUGGGACUUGGAUCAAGACCUGGCAUACUGCACACUUUGAUGUUAUAUAACUUACUUAAAACACCACAUGCGUUUUUUUAUCAUACUCCCUACACUGCUAUGCACAUAUGUUAGAAAGUUGCAAAAGCUGUUCUAUAGGACAAAGAGCUUCUUGUAACCGCUCUAAAUUCUGCUCCAGGAACUAGUUGCUGGAGACACUGCAGAGUGAUGCAAGCUGAGCCUACCACCUCUCCAGAAUUAAGUGUGUCACAUAUUUGACACUCUAAGCCUCCUCUAGCUUUUGAAAUUGCUUCUGCAUUUGGAUCUGCCAGGAGCUAAGCCAGCAGAUGGACCCCUUAUGCUUACACCUUUCUGAAGCUACUUUGCUUCUUAAAAAAAAUUCUUUAUUGAAGCGAGUACCAAAGUAAUAUCAGGGAUUCCUCCUAUAUCUGGCAGGAGUGAUUUUACAGACUAAAGCCCCAAUUCUGCAAAUAAUCAUGUGCCUAUUUCAUUUAUAUGAGUAGUCCUCUUUCCCAGAUGCACUAAACAGAACAACUGAGGAUUGAGUCACUUGUGUUUAAGUGACAUGAGACAUUCCUUCCUCUCCAGGACCUUAACAGUACUCCAAGACCUUAAGGGUACAUCUACACAGCAAGCAAAAACUCAUGGCAUCAAGUCUCAGAGCGCAGUCUACAGACUUGGGCUCACACUGUGGCACUAAAAAUACCAGUGUAGACAUUCAGGCUCUGGCUGAAGCUCAGGUUUUGAAGCCUAAGGAGAGGGGGUGAGCUUUAGAUCCUGAACUCCAGGCCGAGUCCAAACAUCUAUACUGCUAUUUUUAGUGCAGUAGCACAGCCUGAGUCUGUAGACCAGGCUCUGAGUCUUGCUGUCACGUAGAUGUACCCUAACUGGCUAGCAAAUUAACGACUAGAAGUGAAAUCCUGAUCUAGUUGAAAUCAGUGGGAGUGUAGGGAGCCAGGGUGGCUCCCCUCUGAACCAGAGGGUAAAGAGCCACCCUCUGAGCCUGAGUGGGCGGGGCCAGGCCAAGCUUCCGCCAGUCCCCAGAAGGGGAAGGGUGGGACAGGAAGUACAAAGGGCAGGGCCCUCUGCCCAGUGAAGAGAGCACCAGGGAGGGAGACAGACACAGGCUGCUCCCUCGUGAUCCUGCUGCUGACCCAGGCGAAGCCCUGGGCAAGGAGGAGCCUGACUGGGAGGAAGGCCUGUGGCAACCAGGGCUGCCGGCUGCUGAAUACCCAGAGGACCUGGAGGGGCCUGACUGCAGCCCGGGCCAGCGUGAGUCCGGUACCGAGUGGGAGCGGCCCGCAGCGGAAUACUCGGACAAGAUGGAGGGACCGGAGCUGCCUGCAGCGGAAUACCCGGAGGAGAUGGAGGGACCGGAGCGACCCGCCUGAGAGACAGGCUUAUGUGGCUAGGAGCCCUGAAUGAAUUAAAGCCCCAGCUUCCUCAGAGGCAACGUACAGCUGUGUUGUUCUAGAAGAGCUAAUACCAGCACAACCCACAGCAUCAUUCUUGAUUCAAAAAGCUAUUUCCCUGUCAACCACAAAGAUGCAACCUUGAGAUCUCAGCCAUCUGUGUUAUCACCGACCGAAAAACUUCAAUGAAUUAGGAAGAGGCCAUGUAAAAGCAAAGAAGCCAUGCUGCACGAAGUCAUGCAGCAGUCUAUUA